rnacentral:tRNA from 1 species
CGCCGGCUGGCUGGCCCGGGUCGGGUCCUGACACGACCCGGGGACCCUCGUGCCCGGUUCCGCCGCGGCCGGGGC